GGCGAGUGNNGCGGCAACAGCUCAAAUUUGAAAGCUAGCCUUCGGGUUCGCAUUGUAAUUUGUAGAGGAUGAUUUGGGGAAGCCGCCUGUCUAAGUUCCUUGGAACAGGACGUCAUAGAGGGUGAGAAUCCCGUAUGUGACAGGAAAUGGCACCCUAUGUAAAUCUCCUUCGACGAGUCGAGUUGUUUGGGAAUGCAGCUCUAAAUGGGAGGUAAAUUUCUUCUAAAGCUAAAUAUUGGCGAGAGACCGAUAGCGCACAAGUAGAGUGAUCGAAAGAUGAAAAGCACUUUGGAAAGAGAGUUAAAAAGCACGUGAAAUUGUUGAAAGGGAAGCGCUUGCAAUCAGACUUGUUUAAACUGUUCGGCCGGUCUUCUGACCGGUUUACUCAGUUUGGACAGGCCAGCAUCAGUUUCGGCGGCCGGAUAAAGGCUCUGGGAAUGUGGCCUCCACUUCGGUGGAGGUGUUAUAGCCCAGGGUGUAAUACGGCCAGCCGGGACUGAGGUCCGCGCUUCGGCUAGGAUGCUGGCGUAAUGGUUGUAAGCGACCCGUCUUGAAACAC
rnacentral:rRNA from 1 species